GCUGCCGGUAGCCAAUAUACCCAAAAUGGUUCCCGGUUGAAAGUUGUAAACAAGGCGGAACAAUGAAAGAAAUAAUUGUUCCAAUUGUGUCUUUUUUGGCCUCAUUUUUCUUAGUUAUUCUAUUCAUUGCCUUAGGAUGGUAUGUGAUAUGGACACUUUUCCUAAAGAAGUUCAAAUUUGUGCGAGAACUUUUGGGAACCAAUGACUCUGAAACGGAUGUGACUUCAGAUCGAGCACGCAAAAGUCGGGGGAAAGUGCGGAGAGAUUGAGCGUUACAUAUGACAUUGUUAUAAUGUUGUUAUUUUAUACUGAGGUGAAUGGUUAUAUUUAUGAGCUGUUUAUGAAAUGAAAGUUCAUUAUUUGUGUUCAAUUUCUUUGUCACUGUAAUCAGGGACACCUUUCUGAAUGUGUGCUGAAUAUAGGCAGUUUGCCAGGUUCUGCAAUGCGAGUGUUCUUUUCAUAACAUAAUGCUACAAGGUUGGUUUUUUUAUCACUUAUCAUGCAUUUAUUGUGUUGAUUAUAUCAGUAAACCUGAUAUUUAACUUUGUGUUGUUCAUAAGGAUGUAAACGUAUCUGUUUUCUUAGUAUGUAAUGUUCACUCAGUAUUAUAUGGAAAGUUAAUUUAUGCUGGGUGUAUGGUUUUUUUUUGUAUUUUGUACCGGUAUACAUGAUUUUUUUCUGAUGGAAAUUUGAGUAUAUACUGUAUCUUAGCAAAAUGUCUUUUGCAAUUGUAUUAAAAAUGUGUUUUGUGAUAAAAUAAUAAUCACGA